AAAAUAAGACAUAGAUAGUAAGAAGUACAUAAAGUGCAUAAGUCAUUACAACUAAAUUACAAUUUCAUUACAAAAUGGCACCUAAAGUGCAUCAGAUUUAAGACAUAACUAAGUGCCUUAAUACAGACAUAACCAAGUUCCUUAAUAUAGACAUAGCUUAAACAUACUAGCUGUUACAAAGUUCCUUAAUAAGAUAUAACCAUGCUCUGUCAUUUAUUUUUCUUCUAAGAUUUAAAGGAUCUAGUACACACCCCUGGCUUUGAAUCAGUUCUAUGUGUCGAAGUUCCCGCAUCAUGCUUUGUCAAUGUGAUGGAUUGGUGAGAAGUUGAACCUUGACCUGUAACUGGUUUUUGAAACCAUUUCAAAUUUAAUAUUUCACUUUUCCUUUUUAUCAUCCUCAAAAUAUGUUUUUAAUGCUUCUUCUAUUUUGGUUGAGCUUGACUUCCUUCAACCUGACUUGUGUCAAACACACAUGAUUCAGCUUGACUUGCAUCAAUAUCAACAUCAACAUGGAUUACAUCAAUCUCAGUAUCAACUUGGAUUGUAUUAGUCUCAGCAUGAACAUGGUAUUUUACUCUCUCAUAUGGACCUGCAUCAAUCCCUUCAUCAACUUGAAUAUUACAUGCAUCAUCUUGUACAACAUCUUGCACAUUAGUUGCAUCAGCAUUGCUUUUCUUUGGCUCAAAUCUAGCAUGUCCUACUUUGGGUUUCCUCUAAACAAGAAAAAAUAUUUGUUACAUUAAAAUUAUCACAAUGCAAUCAUAUAAAACAUGGUAGUUUUGAACAGUACCUUUCUUUUCAAAGCAUUAGGAUCUUGUGUAUGGCUCUUGCAUGACAUUACGUUGUGCCCAAAUUUAUCACAUUUGGUGCACUUAUAAUCUACACCAGGUCUUCUUCUCCUAGCAUCAUCCUCACCACAUUCCAUUAUCCUAGAUUUCCUAGGUCUUCCUGGUCCAUUUACAUACACAUGAGGUUAUAGUUCAUCAGUUUGUACUUCAGGCCACGUGUCCUGUCCAUUUAUAGAACUCAUAGAAAAGCCAUAACAGAGUGUGUAACACCCCGAUAAAAUAUGAUAAUUAUUUAAAUUAAGUUAAUAGUAUAUUUAUUAAUUUAAUUAAAUAAUUAGAUUAUUAUUGGAAUAUUAUUUGGAAUUAUUAUUAUUGGAAUAAUAAAGUUGGAAUAUAUAUAUAUAUUAUAAAGAGUUCCAUUUGGUAAAGAGGGUUUUUCACGUGAAAACCAGAGAAGCGACAGAAAGGGAAAAGGCAAAGAGGAAAGAGCAAGAGAGCAAGGGUUGAAGAAGGAAAAGCUUGAAGCUAAAGGAUUGCCGGAUUAACUCAGGUAAGGGGUUUUAUCGUCGUUUAAUGGGUAUUAUGGUAACAUGUAAUGGGUAGUAAUAAGCCAUUGAUUUGACCUAAUUUGGAUGAUGAAUGUUGCAAAUUGUGAUGAUCAAUUACGUUAAAACUGUGAUUAAAUCUAUAAUUGGAGGAGUUGUGAUUUUCUGGACGUGUACCGUUUACGGAAUCGAAAUCGGAGGUCCGGAAGUCCUCCGACGGCGAAAAAUCGGGUAAUUCUGCAUUCUGUUCGUGUUAGCGCAGGAACAGCUUUCUGUCUUGCGUUAACGGUUAACCCAGGUGUUAACGGUUAACACUGUUAUGAUAAUUAAAAGAAUUUAUUUCUGUUCUGCGUUAACCGGUUAACCAGGGUGUUAACCGUUAACACUGUUAUGAAUUAUGAGAAAUUGUUGUCUGUCUUGCGUUAACCGUGUAACCCAGGCGUUAACCGGUUAACACUGUUAAAAUGUGCCAGGAAGCGUGUUCUGUGUUGCGUUAACCGGUUAACCCAGGGCGUUAACCGGUUAACACUGUGUGAAAAGUGAAAAAUUUAUAUUUAAAUGUGGUGUGCAUGUUGAUGUUUUGGCCUAUAUUGGCGUAUGAUAAUAGGGAUCAUUUCCCGUUGUUUUGAGCGGUAGGGGUAUUAGUAGAGCGUGCUAAUACUGUGAUUGAUUAUGUGGCAUGAUAUGAUUAUGUGAUAAAUAUGUGGAUGAUGUAUGAUUGAUGCAUAAUGCUGUGGAUGUAUCUAUUAUGUAUGCAAUUGUGAAUGGCUGUUUAUGGCUUAGAGUGUGAGCAUAUGUCCAUUGUGGAUGAUUGUUGAUGUUUGCAUGAGUAAGUGAUUUAGUGUGCAUAAUAUGGCCUUUAUGGUGGUAGCUAAUUCCCAUGGUGAGGAAUUAGUGAGAAUUAUUGUGGAUUGUUGUUGAUGUUUGCAUGCUAGGUGAUUUAGCAUUAGCAUAGCCUUGGGGUGGUAGCUAAUUUCCAUGGUGAGGAAUUAGUGAUGUGAUCACUAGGUCUCAAAUGAGUGGGACUAGUGAGUUUGUAGCCGUAUCUGGAUUUGAUCGGUGAGGUUGAACUAUAUGUUCACGAAAGUCGGUACGCAUGCAUGGAUCUCAUUGCAUAAUGUAUGUAUGGCGUAUAAUAUGAAUGGAUGUAUUCCAAUAUUAUACGUGUGUUUUGUGUUUGUGUUGAGUAUGAUUAUGAGUUGAUGUUGCCGUUGCUGAAUGUGUGAUAUGAUUAGGGUGAUGAAUGUGUUAAUUUACUUAGCAUUACAUGAUAUUUUAUAAUGCUUAUUAUAUCGAUUGAGGAACUCACCCUUACAACUAUGUUUCAGGUAACGAGCAGUGAUUGAGUAGAAGCUAGUGCUUGGAGUCUAGUGUAGUUCCUUAGUGGGUCAUGCUCUGGUAUAUGUAACAUCGGGACGGGAUGUUUUACUUUGUUUUCAUUUUUGGUUGUUGAACAAUUUUACAUGUAAUGUGUUACAUGGUUUGCAUGUUGUUAGAUUUCUAUCCGCUGCGAAUUGUGCAAUGUUUUAUUUUGAUUAAUAAAUGAGCAUGACAAGUUAUUUUGGUGAAUGGUGUGAAGUGUCAAGUGUGACACCCUGAAAUUGCAUAUCUACUCUGAUUUAUAUUUUGUUGUUUUAAUUAAUUAUUGGGGUAUUUUAGAAGGGUGUUACAUUAGUGGUAUCAGAGCAUAGUCGGUCGAGUCGAGUCGUAAUUAUUCUGUUUCCCUGUACGUGAUAGGUGUUGUGUAACCCUAUCAGUACUUAUUGUUUUAGCUUGUUGGGUUUUCAGAAUAGAGAUGGCUGGAAGAGGUAGAGACGAUGCUGCGAUUGCUGAGGCUCUGGGUAUGCUAGCUGGAGUACUUGGAGGGAAUCCGAAUGUUGUGGGAUUGGGAGCUGCUCGUCAACUGAGUGAGUUCCAGAAGAACAAUCCUCCAAUGUUCAAGGGAGCAUACGAUCCAGAUGGUGCUCAGAAGUGGUUGAAGGAGAUCGAGAGGAUCUUCCGAGUGACUGAGUGUGCCGAUAACCAGAAGGUCAGGUUCGGUACGCAUAUGCUGUCAGAGGAAGCAGAUGAUUGGUGGGUUGCUGCCCGCACUGAGUUGGAAGCUGCUGGGAGUGCUGAGAUCACUUGGGCGGUGUUCAGAGAGAGAUUCCUGAGGAAGUACUUUCCAGAGGAUGUCAGAGGAAAGAAAGAGAUAGAGUUCUUAGAAUUGAAGCAGGGCAACCGGUCUGUUACUGAGUAUGCUGCUAAGUUCACAGAGCUGUCGAAGUAUUACACUCCCUAUGAUGAGGCUACUGGGGAAUUUUCAAAAUGUGUGAAGUUUGAGAACGGGUUACGUCCCGAGAUCAAGCAGGCUAUUGGGUAUCAGCGGAUUAGAGUGUUUUCUGACUUGGUUGACUGUUGCAGGAUUUUUGAACAGGAUACCAAGGCCAGAGCGGAGAGCUAUCAGCAGAGGGUUGAUAGGAAAGGCAAGAAUCAGAAUGAUCGUGGGAAACCGUAUGCAGCUGGCAAAGGUUUCCAGAGACAGAGUGGGAUGAAGAGACCUAGUGGGGGAGACUCCAGUGCCCCUGCUAAGUGUUACAGAUGUGGUCAGGCUGGACAUCGUAUCCAUGAGUGUACCAGUACUGAGAAGAAGUGUUUCAAGUGUGGCAAAGGUGGUCACUUGGCUGCAGAGUGCCGGUUGAAGACUAUGACUUGUUUCAACUGUGGAGAGGUGGGUCAUAUCAGUCCACAGUGUCCUAAGCCGAAGAAAGAGAACCAGUCGGGAGGCAAGGUCUUUGCUUUAUCGGGUUCUGAGACUUCUGCAGAUGAUCGUUUGAUCCGAGGUACGUGUUAUAUUAAUGGCUUUCCUCUUGUAGCUAUUAUUGACACAGGUGCGACUCAUUCCUUUAUAUCUUUGGAUUGUGCUGUGAAACUUAAAUUAGAGAUAUCUGAGAUGCAUGGGAGUAUGGUGAUUGAUACUCCUGCGAAGGGUUCAGUGACUACUACUUCAGUUUGUUUAAAUUGUCCUUUGAGUAUUUUUGGUAGAGACUUUGGGAUGGACCUCGUGUGUCUUCCACUAGUGCAGAUUGAUGUUAUCCUGGGUAUGAACUGGUUGGUGUUUAACCGAGUUUAUAUCAACUGUUUUGAUAAGACUGUGAUCUUUCCUGAGAUUGAGGAAGGAAAGAGUUUGUUUCUAUCAGCAAGGCAGGUGAAUGAGGCAGUAGCAGAUGGGGCAGAGUUGUUUAUGCUGUUAGCGACUUUGGAGGCUAAAGAUAAACUGGUGAUUUGCGAUCUAGCCGUGGUGUGUGAUUUUCCUGAUGUGUUUCCUGAAGAAGUGAAUGAAUUACCGCCAGAGCGUGAAGUUGAGUUCUCGAUUGAUUUGGUACCUGGUACUAGGCCGAUAUCGAUGGCUCCGUACCGUAUGUCUGCUGUUGAGUUAACUGAAUUGAAGAGUCAGCUGGAAGAUCUGUUGGAUAAGAAAUUUAUUCGUCCGAGUGUGUCACCGUGGGGCGCACCAGUGUUAUUGGUUAAGAAGAAAGAAGGUACUAUGAGGUUGUGUGUGGACUACAGGCAACUGAAUAAAGUGACGAUCAAGAAUCGGUAUCCUUUGCCGAGGAUUGAUGAUUUGAUGGAUCAGUUGGUUGGUGCGAGUGUGUUCAGCAAAAUAGAUUUGAGAUCGGGGUAUCAUCAGAUACGUGUGAAAACUGAGGAUAUUCAGAAGACUGCUUUCAGAACAAGGUAUGGACAUUAUGAGUAUUCUGUAAUGCCUUUUGGUGUGACUAAUGCGCCUGGGGUAUUUAUGGAGUAUAUGAAUAGGAUUUUCCAUCCGUACCUAGACAAGUUUGUUGUGGUGUUUAUUGACGAUAUUUUGGUGUAUUCGAAAUCUGAAGAAGAGCAUGCUGAACAUUUGAGAGUGGUUUUAGGAGUUCUACGAGAAAAGAAGUUAUUUGCUAAACUGUCCAAGUGUGAAUUUUGGUUAGAAGAGGUUAGUUUUCUUGGUCAUGUGGUUUCAAGAGGUGGUGUUGCUGUUGAUCCUUCUAAGAUAGAAGCGGUAUCUAAGUGGGAAGCUCCGAAGUCAGUUUCUGAGAUAAGGAGUUUUCUUGGACUUGCAGGUUAUUAUAGGAAAUUCAUUGAGGGAUUUUCUAAGUUGGCGUUACCGUUGACGAUGUUGACUAGAAAGGGGCAAGCGUUUGUUUGGGACUCAAAAUGUGAAGAAGGUUUCCAAGAGUUAAAGAGAAGGUUAACUACUGCUCCUAUUCUGAUAUUACCAAGUCCGUCGGAACCAUUUGAGGUUUACUGUGAUGCUUCAUUGUUGGGUUUGGGUGGUGUUUUGAUGCAGAAUAAGCAGGUUGUAGCUUAUGCUUCGAGACAACUGAAGGUUCAUGAGAGGAACUAUCCGACACACGAUUUAGAGUUGGCAGCUGUGGUAUUUGUUCUGAAGUUAUGGAGGCAUUACUUGUACGGGUCAAGAUUUGAGGUUUUCAGUGACCAUAAAAGUUUAAAGUAUUUGUUUGAUCAGAAAGAGCUGAAUAUGAGACAGAGGAGAUGGUUAGAGUUUCUGAAGGAUUAUGACUUUGGUUUGAAUUACCAUCCGGGUAAAGCAAACGUAGUGGCUGAUGCAUUGAGUCGGAAAUCAUUGCAUAUGUCUAUGUUAAUGGUUAAGGAAUUGGAUUUAAUUGAGCAGUUUAGAGACUUGAGUUUGGUGUGUGAGAGUACUCACAAUAGUGUUAAAUUGGGAAUGUUGAAGUUAACGAGUGGUAUUCUGGAUGAGAUUAGAGAGGGUCAGAAAUCCGAUGUGCUUUUGGUUGAUAAGUUGACUCUAGUGAAUCAAGGUCAAGGUGGUGAAUUCAGAGUUGAUGAGAAUGGUGUUUUGAAAUUUGGUAAUCGGGUGUGUAUUCCGGAUGUUACCGAACUUAAGAAGAGUAUUCUUGAGGAAGGACAUCGUAGUGGCCUGAGUAUUCAUCCUGGGGCUACGAAGAUGUAUCAUGAUUUGAAAAAGUUAUUUUGGUGGCCGGGAAUGAAAAGAGAAAUUGCGAGUUUUGUUUAUUCUUGUUUGACUUGUCAGAAGUCAAAGAUUGAGCAUCAGAAGCCGUCUGGGCUAAUGCAACCGUUGGCUAUUCCAGAGUGGAAGUGGGAUAGUAUCAGUAUGGAUUUUGUUUCUGGUUUACCGAGGACAAUUAAGAAUUUUGAAGCUAUUUGGGUGAUUGUUGACAGAUUGACAAAAUCGGCUCAUUUCAUUCCGAUCAGAAUGGAUUAUCCGUUAGAGAGAUUAGCUGAGUUGUAUAUUGAGAAAAUUGUAAGUUUGCAUGGUAUUCCGUCGAGUAUUGUUUCGGACAGAGAUCCUAGAUUUACAUCGAAGUUCUGGGAAGGUUUGCAGAGGGCUUUGGGAACUAAGCUGAGAUUGAGUUCUGCAUAUCAUCCGCAGACUGAUGGUCAGACUGAGAGGACGAUUCAGUCACUGGAGGAUCUUUUGAGGGCUUGUGUUUUGGAAAAGGGAGGUGCUUGGGAUUGUUAUUUACCUUUGAUUGAGUUUACCUACAACAAUAGUUUUCAUUCGAGCAUUGGUAUGGCACCGUUUGAAGCUUUGUAUGGUAGGAGAUGUCGGACACCUUUAUGUUGGUAUGAGUCCGGUGAGAGUGCUGUGGUUGGACCGGAGAUUGUUCAACAAACUACGGAAAAGAUUAAGAUGAUUCAGGAGAAGAUGAGGAUUGCUCAGAGUCGUCAGAAGAGUUAUCACGACAAGAGGAGGAAGUCACUUGAGUUUCAAGAGGGAGAUCAUGUGUUUCUUCGUGUUACUCCGAUAACUGGGGUUGGUCGAGCUUUGAAGUCGAAGAAGUUGACACCUCGAUUUAUUGGUCCUUAUCAGAUUUUGGAGAGGAUAGGGGAGGUAGCCUAUCGUAUCGCUUUACCGCCGUCACUUGCGAAUUUGCAUGAGGUUUUUCAUGUGUCUCAGUUGAGGAGGUACAUUCCUGAUCCGUCGCAUGUGGUCCAAGUAGAUGAUGUACAGGUGAGAGAUAACCUGACUGUUGAAACAUCACCUAUGAGGAUCGAGGAUCGAGAGUUGAAGCAGUUGCGGGGUAAAGAGAUUGCUUUGGUAAAGGUAGCUUGGGGAGGACCAGCAGGUGGCAAUGUGACUUGGGAACUUGAGAGUCAGAUGAAGGAGUCUUAUCCAGAGUUAUUCGCUUGAGGUAUGUUUUCGAGGACGAAAACUCUUUUAGUGGGGGAGAGUUGUAACACCCCGAUAAAAUAUGAUAAUUAUUUAAUUUAAGUUUAAUAGUAUAUUAUGAUGAUAAUAUGAAUGAGAGGGUAUUAUUUUUCAAAAUAAAAGAUAAACCAUUCAUAUAUAUUAUUAUUAGUAUAUUUAUUAAUUUAAUUAAAUAAUUGGAAUAUUAUUGGAUUAUUAUUAUUGGAAUAAUAAAGUUGGAAUUGGAACGAUUUUUGGAAUCAGUAAAGAGUCCCAUUUAGUAAAAAGGUUUUUACACGUGAAAACAGAGAAGCGACUAAAAAGUGGAAAAAGGGCAAAGAGGAAGAGCAAGAGAAAAAGGGUUGAAGAAGGGAAAAGCUUGAAGUUAAAGGAUUUGCCGGAUUAACUCAGGUAAGGGGGGAAAUCCUUAUUAUUAUGGGUUAGUAUGAUUGGGUCAAUGGGUAGGAACAUGUUUUAGGUUGAAAUCCUUAAUUGGCUUGAAUUGGAAUUAUUAGGUUUUGAUAAAUACCCUUGAAUUGUGAUGAAUAAAUUACGUUAAAACUGUGAAUGAAUCUAUAUUUGGAUGAGUCGUAAUUUUCUGGACGUGUAGCUUUUUACGGAAUCGAAAUCGGAGGUCCGGAAGUCCUCCAACGGCGAAAAAUGCGGGUAAUUCUGCAUUCUGUUCGUUGUUAGCGCAGGAAUUGCUUUCUGUCUUGCGUUAACCGGUUAACCCAGGGCGUUAACCGGUUAACACUGUUGAAAUACUGUAAAAAUUGUAUUCUGUCUUGCGUUAACAGGUUAACCAAUUGCGUUAACAGGUUAACACUGUUUGAAAAGUGAAAAAUUGAUAUUUAAAUAUUGUGUACGUUUUGGAAUGGAAUUAUGUGUACAUAUUGUAUGGGCUUGGCUAGGAAAUGUGCCAUACGCGUAUGGGCAUGAGGCAUACGUGUAUGGGCAGAAGUUUGAUUUUCUGAGCUGUUGUUGUGCAGUUUUGGUCGUUUCAGCUGAGUGAUGUAAUUUAGUUGAUGUAUGAUAUAGUAGGGAUCAUUUCCCGUUGUUUUGAGCAGUAUAGGUAUUAGUAGAGUGUGCUAAUACUGUGAUUUAUUAUUUGGCAUGACAUGAUAUGAUUCUGUGAUAAAUAUGCUGAUGAUGUAUGAUGGUAUGCAUAAUGCUGUGAAUAUAUCUAUUAUGUAUGCAAUUGUGGAUGGACUGUUUAUGGCUUAGAGUGUGAGCAUAUGUCCAUUGUGGAUUGUUGUUGAUGUUUGCAUGCUAGGUGAUUUAGCGUGCAUAGCAUGGCCUUUAUGGUGGUAGCUAAUUCCCAUGGUGAGGAAUUAGUGAGUGAGUCACUAGGUCUCAAAUGAGUGGGACUAGUGAGCUUGGUAGCCGUAUCUGGGUUUGAUCGGUGAGGUUGAACUAUGUGUUCACGAAUAGUCGGUACCGCAUGCAUGGAGUCUCAUUUCAUAAUGUAUGUAUGGCGUAUAAUAUGAAUGGAUGUAUUCCAAUAUUAUACGUGUGUUUUGUGUUGUGUUGUGUUGAGUAUGAUUAUGAGUUGAUGUUGCCGUUGCUGAAUGUGUGAUAUGAUUAGGGUGAUGAAAUGUGUUAAUUUACUUAGCAUUACAUGAUAUUUUAUAAUGCUUAUUAUAUCGAUUGAGGAACUCACCCUUACAACUAUGUUUCAGGUAACGAGCAGUGAUUGAGUAGAAGCUAGUGCUUGGAGUCUAGUGUAGUUCCUUAGUGGGUCAUGCUCUGGUAGAUGUAACAUCGGGACGGGAUGUUUACUUUGUUUUCAAUUGUGGUUGUUGAACAGUUUUACAUGUAAUGUGAUUACAUGGUUUGCAUGAUUGAUUAGAUCUCUAUCCGCUGCGAAUUGUGCAAUGUUUUAUUUUGAUUAAUAAAUGAGCAUGACAAGUUAUUAUGGUGAAUGGUGUGAAGUGUCAAGUGUGACACCCUUAAAUUGCAUAUCUACUCUGAUUUAUAUUUUGUUGAAUUAAUUGAUUUAUUGGGGUAUUUUAGAAGGGUGUUACAGAGUGCAUACUUCUAUCUUGAAUAACAGUCAUCCAUAAAGUCAUUAGGGUUUUGUUUUCUAUAACUUAAUGCAGUAACAACAUGCCUACAUGGAAUUCCAACCAAUUCCCAAAAAUUACAACUGCAAGAUCUUUUGGCAACGUCAAUAAUAAACUCUUGUGUGUUGAAUGAAUUUGUAACCUGGAAUUUUUCAGCAAUAGACCAAGUUGGCAGCCAAUGACCACUAUUGAACACCUUAUUAUCUAACCUCUUCCUAGGUAUUGGCACAACUUUAUGUUGACACUUCUCAAGUUUGGUGGCAGAUGUUUCUAACCUAUUCAUAAGAUACUUUCUAAUCCACUCACAUAUGGUUAAUAUAGGCUUAUCCCUAGCAACUAAAAUAGUAGCGUUAAAAAACUCAGCAAUAUUGUUCAUUAAGACAUCACAUUUAUAGUAAAUACUAAAUGCAUGCUUAAACCAACAUUUGAUAGGAACUCCCAUUAGCCAACUCCAAGCCUUGACAUCUACUUUCUUCAGUUCAUUCAUCUUUUGGAUCCAACCUUGAUAGUAAGUUGCCUUAGCAACUCCCAUCAUCAAAUCCCUUAUAAGGGUUCCACCUCCAAACCUUUUCUUAAUAUUUGCAUACAAGUGUCUGAGACAUAACCUAUGCUUAAUUAUUUCAAACAUUUCUUCUAAAACAUCUAAUAAUCCCUAAAAAAAAUUUAAUAUAUGCAUUAGGUUAGCAAUGGUUAUAAUAUAUGAAAUGAAUUAAAAAUGUGAUGUUAACUACAUACCUUUUAUUGAUAUGAAAUAAAUAGAUAUCUUUUAUCUUGUCCAGUGUCUUCCAUUAAUAGUUAUAGAAACCACCUCCAACUUUCCUUUGUUUUACUUUCAACGCACCAAAAGCCAAUGGGAAAUAUUGAUCAUUGGGGUCCCUACCCACAACAAUAAAAAGUUGUCCACCAUAUUUUGUCUUCAUAUGGCAGCCAUCAACUCCAACAAAUGGUAUGCAUCCAUUUAUGAAACCCUUCUUACAACCAUCAAAAUAGAAGUAGAAUGAUUCAAACCUUGGUUGUAUCGAUGGCAAUGGUCUUUCAACAUUGAUCUUCAUAGUAUUCCCAGAAUGAACCUUUGUUAACUCAGUAACAUACCUCCAUAGAUUUUCAUAUAUCUUAUCAGCAUCCCCUUCAAUAAUUUUCUUUGUAAUAAACUUUUCCUUCCAUGAUCUAUCAACACUAAUCCCCACAGAGAAAUUUUGUCCCAUAUCUUGCAUAAUAUCAUGUGUUAUCACUUUUUCAGAAGUUUGCAUUUUCUUCACUACUGCCUUUGCCACCCACUUUGAGUUUGCAGAUCUAUUAUUCAAAACCCUAACACAUAUGUAGGUAUCCACCAAUGUCCUUAUAGCAUAGGUAUGCUUAUGGCCCAUUUUAGAGCAUAAUACUAAAAAACCACAUUUAGCCUUGCAUUCUACCCUUACCUUAUAACUCUCACUUUUUACAAAGGUGAUUUCCCUCUCUAAAAUCAGUAAGAGAACUAAAUUUCAUGCCCCACUUAAACUUGUAAUUCUUACUGAGAUGCUCUUUCCUUAACCCUUCAAACUUUGGCCAUUCAUCAUCACUACUCUCAUCUGGAUCUGAGUUGUCUAGUUCAUCACUACAAUAUUCAUCAUCAUUAUCAAUUUUCUUUUGGGGCCUACCUAGUAAUCCUACAACUAUGUCCCCAUGAUUUAUAGGUACAUUAACAUCAAUUCCUACAAAUCCAUCUAUAAGAUCAGUAUCUUUAUCAUCCUCAUCAUCUUCAAACCCUUCAACCACCUCAUCAUUUAAUCCUUCCAUAUAUCUCACCCCAUUAACACACUUAGGAACCCUUACUUUCAGUUCUAUGUCAGUAACACCAUGUUUCAGAUAAAUAUCACCAUCAACUUGAGUUGCACAAGCAUAUGCAGCAAAAUCGUAUGCAUCAUCAUCCUUUCUUAUUUGAAAGAAAUCCUCAUAUAUUUCAAGAAUUUUCGUCCAUAACCUAUAACUUCCUUCUUUAUAACCCCGUGUAUUCACCAACCUAUGAAUUUCAGACAUUGUCCAUUUGUUAAUAUGUUGACUAGAAACUAUUGUACCCACACCGCAUAUGUAUAUGAUAUCAUUCUUAUUGACCAUUAUAAAUUCACCCCCAUGGUGAAAAACUACAUUGAAAUGUUGUAUGUUCUGUGAAAAGGAUUUGAAUAAAUGUUUAAUAUUCUCGUGGUUUAACCAAUACAGAAUCAAACUCAGACAUUUCAAGAGACAUUGAAAAAACUAACCUCAUACAUUGAAUUCUUCGUUCUUCGUAUUCGACGUUGCAAGUUGAUGGCUUUUC
rnacentral:lncRNA from 1 species